UAAUACCGGAUAUGACCGUCUUGGGCAUCCUUGACGGUGUAAAGCUCCGGCGGUGCAGGAUGAGCCCGCGGCCUAUCAGCUUGUUGGUGAGGUAAUGGCUCACCAAGGCGACGACGGGUAGCCGGCCUGAGAGGGCGACCGGCCACACUGGGACUGAGACACGGCCCAGACUCCUACGGGAGGCAGCAGUGGGGAAUAUUGCACAAUGGGCGAAAGCCUGAUGCAGCGACGCCGCGUGAGGGAUGACGGCCUUCGGGUUGUAAACCUCUUUCAGCAGGGAAGAAGCGAAAGUGACGGUACCUGCAGAAGAAGCGCCGGCUAACUACGUGCCAGCAGCCGCGGUAAUACGUAGGGCGCAAGCGUUGUCCGGAAUUAUUGGGCGUAAAGAGCUCGUAGGCGGCUUGUCGCGUCGGUUGUGAAAGCCCGGGGCUUAACCCCGGGUCUGCAGUCGAUACGGGCAGGCUAGAGUUCGGUAGGGGAGAUCGGAAUUCCUGGUGUAGCGGUGAAAUGCGCAGAUAUCAGGAGGAACACCGGUGGCGAAGGCGGAUCUCUGGGCCGAUACUGACGCUGAGGAGCGAAAGCGUGGGGAGCGAACAGGAUUAGAUACCCUGGUAGUCCACGCCGU
rnacentral:rRNA from 1 species